rnacentral:rRNA from 1 species
ACUCAAAUGAAUUGACGGGGGCCCGCACAAGCGGUGGAUGAUGUGGAUUAAUUCGAUGCAACGCGAAGAACCUUACCUGCUUUUGAAUGCUAGGGAUGGCUGAGAGAUCAGCUAGUGCCUUCGGGAACCUAGACACAGGUGCUGCAUGGCUGUCGUCAGCUCGUGUCGUGAGAUGUUGGGUUAAGUCCCGCAACGAGCGCAACCCUUGCCAUUAGUUGCCAUCAUUGAGUUGGGCACUUUAAUGGGACUGCCGGUGACAAGCUGGAGGAAGGAGGGGAUGACGUCAAGUCCUCAUGGCCCUUAUAGGCAGGGCUUCACACGUCAUACAAUGGUUGGUACAGAGGGAAGCGAGCCUGCGAGGGUGAGCGAAUCUCUAGAAAGCCAAUCGUAGUCCGGAUUGCAGGCUGCAACUCGCCUGCAUGAAGUUGGAAUCGCUAGUAAUCGCGGAUCAGCAUGUCGCGGUGAAUACGUUCCCGGGCCUUGCACACACCGCCCGU